rnacentral:lncRNA from 1 species
AAUAGUUUUUAUCAAAUUAGUUGGGAAAAGAUAAUGACGACAUAUCAAAAGCAAAAUGAAAGGCCAAAAGCAUUAACCUAAAUAACAAAGACAUAUUAUGGAUGAGACACAAAUUGAAGAGAGGUUAGCUUGAGGAGUUGAUGGAAAUCCACAUGCAACAAUAUCCAUGCAUAGUUUUUCAACAUAAAUCUCUAGGACAUUAACUAAAAUUUGGUUGAUCUUCACCACAAUUCCUUUUAGAUUGGCCUAAAAUAUUUAAUAAGCUAAAUAACAAAGACAUAUUAUGGAGGAGACACAAAUUGAAGAGAGGUUAGCUUGAGGAGUUGAUGGAAAUCCACAUGCAACAAUAUCCAUGCAUAGUUUUUCAACAUAAAUCUCUAGGACAUUAACUAAAAUUUGGUUGAUCUUCACCACUAUUCCUUUUAGAUUGGCCUAAAAUAUUUAAUAAGCUAAGCACUUCACAAUCAUGGAAAAUUAAAGAUAAGAUAAAUUAUCUAUAUAAAUCUUUGAUGCUAUGUCUUGUAUAUGUCUUAUGAUCUCUAAUGUUGAUAAGAAUCAUAUUAUUAAACCCUUACAUAAUUUACUAGAGUACCAAAUCUUAUAAUGUGCAAAAAUCCUAUAUAGUAGUUGAUGAUUUUUUUAUUUACAAUUUCUAUAGUAUCUAUUUUAAGUGUUAAAUUAUAUAAUAUUAUAAUAGUUUGUAUGUUUUAUUAGGAGUAGCUAUGUGCACCCUUUUCUAAAUUAUGUGACAUUAACACUUCUAUAACUACUUUCAUUUAAUUUUAUUUUAUUUUUGUGUUAUUUAUAAUUUCCAUGAUUUUUUAAAUAAAGAUCAAAAUUUUGUAAAUGUUUUUUAUACUUCUAUUUAUAUCAAUAUUUUGUUCUUUGCUUACAUCUCUAAUAUAGAAAACAGUUGAGGCAACUAAUGGUCUCUCUCAGCCAUAUGAGUUUGUGAUAUUACUCAAGCUAGUAUAAGAAUGAUGCCCAAACUCAGGAAGGACAACAUGUAAUGGGUUUCUCAAGAACCCUAAAGCCUAUUUGGUAGUAAAUGUAAGAACAGAUUUUCCCAAGAUAUUUGCACCAUUAUCCCUUUGGCAGUAGGGACACUAAUUAAAUUUGUGAUAAAUUAUGUAAUCUAAGCCAGCAUUUCCAUAAAUUCUUGGAAUUCAAAACAUAAAAUAACAUGAUCAUUUUUUAUCCAUAACAUUAGAAAUUGGUUUGAAGAUGCACAAUUCUUAUUGUAUAAGCUAUCAAAUGUAUAAGGUGUAAAUAUAAAUAACAAAGCUAUCUUUUGCUUCAUAUGUUGUCUCAUGCCAUAAUUAUGAAAGUAGAAUAUAACAAGUGCAUAUUGAUUGUCAAAUAAUUAAAACAAGGCUAAAGAGAAUGAGAAGAAAAGUUGGAAUCUUAGACUUGAAAUGGCUUUAUGUAUUAGUAGAAUUUUCACAAAAAUAUAAAUUUUUGAGAUAUGAGCGAUCUUGUGUCAGACUUGACCAAUUCCUUUUGGCAUCUUUCCAAUAGACAUAGAUAAUUGUAGAUUUGAGUUUCUGGAGGGUGAUAAGGAAUGCAUCUCAUCCUGCAGUGAUGUCAAUUCAAAGAAAGAAUGAACUUGAAGCUCUAUGAGUUUAAGUGAUAGUAGUAUUGCAAAAGCAGAACAAUUGUCAAUUGUGAGUGUGGAUGGUGAUAACAUGUUGAGCACCUCCUUUUAGAGAGAUAUUACCAUUAUUGUUUGUGUACUCCAAAGCAUUCCAAUCCCAGAGGUCAAGAAACUCAAGUGAAGGGACGUAACUAGAUUGUCAUAUGAAUUGGUAAGAUGUGAAACUCACUCAAAUUGUUGGUGUUCUACUGCAUAUGAAUAUCAGAAAAAAUCAGAACUCCAAACAAAGUAGAUCAAUUUAAACAAAAUGAAUGGGAAGUAAUAAAUUAAAUAUUAAGAAUUCUUAACACGCUUGCAUAUGCAUAUGAGAAUCAGGAAAACAGAACUAUAGAAAAAGUAUAACACUCUUAUAACAUUGUAAAAUAAUAACAAGAAAAUUUGAAGCCAUCAAAAAAUAGGAAAAAGACUGCAUUGUAAACCUGAAACAUUGUUGAUGGCAUGCUCAAAUUAGAGAGACUAGGAGUAGUUUAUGAAUCAGCCAAUAUGAAUCAGCCAAUCUUUGCUAGUCGAUAUCUCAAGUGGGCCCUUUGGUGUAGUUCUAGAUUCUCUUGGAUAAAAAUUUGAACUGAAAUGAGCCUUAUUGCUCCAACCACUCCCCUAACCACAGGAUUUACACAUGGACAGGCUAACCCUUCCAUGUUUAUAUGACACUUAUAACACAAUUGCAGGAAUUAUAGAAAUCUUAGGCCAGUCUUAACCUUUUCCUUUUGUCAUGUUUCUAGUAAGUAUAACAACAGUGGAUUGUGACUUUUUGUAAAGUGCUCAUAGGCAGAUCCCUUCUCACCACCAUUUCAAUCAGAGCAGUUAGCAAUCUAAAGCCUCAAUUUUCAAGACAACUUAAGGCUUCAAGGGUUGUAAGACAAAGAAAUUAGGCUACCCCCUCCCCCCACUACCAUUUCAAUCAGAGCAGUUAGCCAUUUAAAGCCUCAAUUUUCAAGACAACUUAAGGCUUAAAGGGUUGUAAGACAGAAAAAUUAGGCUACCUCCCCUAUGCAUUUUCAAUAACGUGGGAGAAAUGAGGUGCUAGAUAGUAGGAGAUAUAUUAGUCUAUGACAAUUCUCACUUUCUAGUUACCUUAAAAGGUGAGGUGGCAACACUAGGAGACAUAUUAGAGAGUUGAGACAACUGCUUCAAUAUCCAGUUUUUCUUUGACUUGGCAACAAUUACAUCUCAAAUAAAAGUUAACCCAAAUUUCCAAAACUUGUAGAAUGGCGAACGAAGUAACAAGAUCUUAUAUUGACUUAUAGUCAUCCAGGUACAAAGCACUAGCAAGUUAUAUCUUUGAAGAUACAAAUUUCUAAAUUUACUAAUCUAAUGAAUUAAUGAAAGAGGUGAAAAAUGACAAAAAUUACACAAUUACUUUGUCCAAAAACUAUUAAUUAACAGAAUUAGACUCUUAACAGAUGUUGCUCAUUUUCAAUACUUGGUUAAUGAUUUCUAGCCAAACGAUCCCUAUAUUGCUCAUAAAGGGACAGUCCUAUACCUAAAAAAAAUUACAAAUAGGGUGGAAUAAUAAGGAAGUCUUUUGCCUAGUUUUGUUUGGUUAGAAUGACAUUUUAAAAAUAAUUAAAGGCAUAGUGAUAGACUUUUGUUUUGUCUAUGCUAAUACACAUAGGGAAAAGACAAGAGAACUACUCUACAAAAUUUACACUUAAUGUUUGUGACUUGUUCAAUUUGAUUACAGUCCUAGUAAAUAUGAGAAAUAACAAAUGAGCACAACAGUCUUAACAGAUUGAUAAUUAAAUUAAAAAAUAAUACAACCAUCCAUAGUGGGGAGAUUACCUAAAAUAUAUGGUACAAAGCAUCUAGGAUUGAAAAAGAUAGCAGGAAUUCUUUCUACAUCAGACAUCUAUAAAUAUGAAUUUCAGGGGAAUGAGAAAUGUUUAAGCCAGUUCAAAACUUGUUACCUUCUUGAAGUGCUUUCAAGCUCAAACAGGCUACUGUAGGGAGUGAUUUCACGUUGGGCCAAGGACUAAUCACAAGCUUCUUAAGUAAGGUGCAAUCUGUGACAAAAUACUAAAUAAAUCAACCUUAGCAUUUUCCUAAACACUCAGAAAGCAAAAAUUAAAGUAACAUAAUUACUUGGUACAUGGUAUAAGUAUUUGAUUGCAUAAAAUGCAAACAUAAAAAACAAAAUUGUUAUUUUCUAUACAUGCUAAUGAAUACAAAGAAUUAUCAAGGCAGAACUGUAAAUACAACAUACUGAUUGGAAAAUAGUAAAUAUGAAGCUAUAAAAAUGAGAUGACAUCUUGAGAAUUUAGACCUGAAGUAGCUUUCUGUACUAGUCUUUGUAGGGCGCUAAGGGAAUGCAUCUCUUCUGGCAGUGAUAUAAGGGCAAGAAUAAAUUCAAAGCUCCAUAGGUGCUAUAAGCCUGCAUAUCCAAUCUGGUAAUGUUAUCAAUUGAGACCAGUGAAGAAAGAGUCUGAUGCAAGUAAGAGAAGUCUUUACCUUUGCACCAACCCUCAAUAGCUUUUUUCCAAGGCAUGGGCAAUAUUCAGCCCAUCCUCACCAUCAUCCUUAUUUGCAAUGGCAUAUAAGAAACCAUUGGGCCAAUGAAUAACCAUGAGUUUCUUAAACAAGGUGAAAUCUGCAAGAAAAUAGUAAUCAAAUCAACCCUAGCAUUUUCCCGAACUCUUGUAAUGCAAAACUUAAAGAGUAAUAUGAUUAGCUUGGUCCUCAAUGACCAUUUAAUGACUUGUCUAAAUUGUACAUUGAUUUAAUGAUGCAAACCUUUCAACUUAGUGACUUCUUCAAAAUUAUAAUUUUAUCAAAUAAUUUGGCAGUAAAUAAUAAAAAUUGCAGCUAUUAAAAACAAGAAGAAACAUUGAAUUGUAAAACUGAAAUAUAUUGUAGAUGACAUGCUUGAAUUAAAGAAUAUCCUUCAUGAAUCAAUCAUCCAUUACCGGUCAGUAUCAAUUCUGGAAACAUUGAAAAACUGAGGAGCACAGUGAUUCAAAUUCAGGGCAGACAACAUUUUGUAGCUCAUUAAGAGAUCUUUGGAUGCUUAUCCAAUCUGAUAAAGUUGCUAAACAAGAACAGUAUUUUAAGAAUUUCCAGAAUGGUAACAUUUUGAGGCAUCAAUGAUGGAGGCACCAACUCAAGCUUCUGAGUCCUUGCAAUUUGCACGUGAACCUCAUCCCCAUUAUCUGACAAAAGAAGUUGCCUACAACAUUUAUUCAAGGUCUCAAAGUUAAUAUUGAAUCCACUGGUGGAGAUGUCCAAGCACUACCAUUAUCACUUUUUACAGCAAACUGAAAACAAUUAUGUGUAAUAAAACCAUUAACCUAUUCCAAACAUAAAAUAGAAAGAUCAUUUCAGCAAAGAAUUAUAAUAGUUAAUUUUAACCAUGAAAAUAAACAUCAUUAGUAAUUGAUAUCUUUAAAGAUAUGAUUUUCAAGCCAAACAAGUUCAACUAAAUUAUAAUACAUGAUGACUAAAUCAUAAUAUCAAUGGACUACUAUUUCUCUCUAUUCUAACGCUAUCAAUGGCUAACAUAAUAAUCAAGUGUAUUUAUCUAUGUUGUGUUUUGGUUUGAGUUGAUAUUGUAGAAAAUAGUAUAAAGCAUAGCAAUAGACUACCAUUUUGUCCAUCCUAAUACAUACACAGAGAGUAGAGAUAAGACAAGUAGUAUAGACAUUUUUUUCCUUUAUAUGAUCCAUUAAUAAAAAAAAUUAUCAAUGAGCAUAACACCCUUAACAUAUCGAUGGUAAAAUUUAUGAUGCUGCAGCCAUCCCUACUGGGAGAAGGAUUACCAGAAAUAUACAUGCCCACUAGCAGACCUGAAUUAAAAACAGAGCAAAAGUCCUUUCUGCACUAGUCAUCUAGUAGAUAUGUUUUUAUGGGCGAUGUGAAAUCUUUAGGGCAACCCAAGACUUGUCCCCUUUUAGCAUCCCUUUAGGCAUUAAGCCAAUCAUAAAGCUUCUUAAGGAAGGUGAAACCUGUGACAAUGGUUUAAAGAUGGAAAAAAAUUUUCAAACUUGCUGAUCUGAGCAGUUUAACAGAGCAAAUAUAAAGAAGUGACAAAGCAAAUGAAAAUAGGGCAUUCUGCAUGUAUGAUAAUAAAAUUGAAAAAAAAACUAGGGAAUUUCUGACCUGAAAUGACAUUCUGUAUAAGUUCACUCUUCACUAAUGCAGGUACAUGUUAAUUUAUAGGAUAUAAUCAAUCUUGGGCCAGUUCCCUUCGACAUCUUUCUGUAAGGUGCUCAUAAUUUUAUAUAUUAAGGUGUGCAAAUGAGGUGAGACUGCCAAUCCAAUGUGGUAAUGCUGUCAAACCACAAUAGUUGUAAAUUGAGAGACGUUGAAGAGUUGAAACAUGUCGAUGCAGCUCAUCUAGAAGAAAUAUCAAAAUCACAUAUCUUCUAUAUGGACAAAGACUCCAAUGGAGAAUCAAUAACAAGUAUUAACUGCCGCAAUACCUCUUCUCUCACUGUAGACAGUAGCAAUUUCUUAAGACAAGGUAACAAAGACACUUGCAAGGAUGUCUAGAAUAGAAAAAAGACUCUGAGCUCAGGGCAUUGCGAGAUCUUUAAACUAGAAAGAAGAGGAGAUGAAUGCAGUUCCAAGGACGCUAACUCCUUACAAUACUCGAUAUCUAAUUGUGAAAGAUAAGGAAAUGAAGGAGGUGGUUGUGUUGGUAACAUUUCCAGGCCCCAAUACCGGAGACACCAACUCAAGCUUCAUCUUCAUUAUCUAACAAAAGAAGCUCACUGCAACAUUUAUUCAAGGUAUCAAAGGUGAUGAAAUAUUGAAUCCCCUCGUAGAGAUGUCCAAGCUCCACCAUUAUCCCUUGUACAUUCAAUUGACAACAAUUACAUCUGCAAUAAAAUAGUUCAUCUAAGAAAUUUCCAAACAUGAAGAAUGCAAACACAAAAUAGCAAGAUCACUUUAGCAAGAAAUGAUGAGCUAAUUAUAAUUAUGAAAAGAGACAACAUUAAAAUUGACAUCUUUAAAGAUAAGAUUUUCAAACUUUACUAAAUUAUGAUAAAUGACAGCUAAAUCGUAAUAUCAAUGGACUACUCUGUUUUUGUCUAUGCUAAUGCUAUCAAUGGCUGACAUAAUAAUCAAGGGUUUUUGUCCAUGUUGUGUUUUGGUUAGAGUGAUAUUUUAGAAACUAGUACAAAUCAUAGCAAUAGACUACUAUUUUGUUUAUGCUAGUACAUACAUAGAAAGCAGAGAUAAGACAAGAAGUAUAAAAAAGUUUUGCUUGACAUGAUCCAUCAAUAACCAAAAUUAUAGAUGACUCUGACAUUCUUAAUAGAUCAAUAGCACAAAGUACAAACAAUGAUAAUGAUGAUGCAACCAUCAAAGGUCAGAGGAGGAUUUACUAAAAUUUACGUCUGAUAGCACACCUGAAUUGAAAAGAGAGGAAAGGUCUUUUUUUGCAUUGGUCAUGUAGUAGGAAUGAAUUUCUGGCAGUGAUUAAUCUCAAGGCAUGUAAAUGAUAUGAGGCUGCCUAACUAGAACAGUCCUAAAUGAUAAGUCUGCAGGGUAUUGAGGGAAUGCAUCUCUUCUAGUAGUAAUGUCAAUUAAUGGCAAGGAUGAAUUCAGAGCUCCAAAAGUAUUCAAAGGCUUCCUAUCUAGUCUGGUGAUUUUGUCAAUUAAGAGCAGAGGAGAGAGUAUGUUGUAAGUGAAUGGAGUCUUUUCCUUUUCACCAGCCCUCAAAAGCUUGUUCCCAAGGCACGGGCAAUAUUCAGCCCAUCUUCACCAUCAUCCUUUUUUACAUUGGGAUAUUAGACACCUUUGUGCCUAUGAACAAUCAGAAGUUCUUAAGCAAGGUAAAAUCUGCAAGAAAAUAUUGAUUAAAUCAACCCUAGCAUUUUGCCAAACUCUUAGAAUAUGAAACUUAAAGUAUAAUGAUUAGGUUGGUCCCAAACUACCAAUUAAUAACUUGUCUAUUGUACAUGAUUUGAUGAUGCAAAAUUUUCAAAAACUUAGUGAUCUAAAAUCAAACAUUAUAAAAAUUGAAGCUAUUAAAAACAAGACAGAACAUUGGAUUGCAAACCUGAAAUAUAUUGUCAAUGACAUGCUUCAAUUAAAGAACAAAAAUCCUAUAUGAAUCAGGUACCAUUGCUAGUCAAUAUCAAUUUUGGGAAAAUUGAAGUGUUGAGUGACACAUCCCUUCUGGCAGUGAUUGCAAUUCAAGGCCAACAGCAUUUUCAAGCUCAUUAAGAGAUGCCAGACUGUCUUCUAGUUUGAUUAAGUUGCAAAACUAGAGAAAUUGAUGAUUGUAAGGAUUUCCAGAAUGUUAACAUUUUGAAGCCCUAAUAGUGGAGGCACCAACUCCUUAUUUGACAAAAACGCUCUCUGCAAUAUUUAUUCAAGCUAUCAAAGGUGAUAAAAAAUUGCAUCCACUGAUAGAGAUGCCCAAGCCCCACCAUCAUCCCUUUUUUACAUUGAAUUUACAUCAAUGACAUCUGCAAUAAAAUAGUUAACUUGAGAAAUUUCCAAACACAAAAUAGCAAGAUCAUUUUGGCAAAACAGAACAAUGAAUUGAUAUCUUUAAAGAUACAUUUUUCAAAUUACUGUUACAUGCAUGCUUUCAGGCCACAAAAGUUCAACUAAAGUAUGAUACAUGACAACUAAAUUGUAAUAUCAAUGUAACAUUGUAUCCACUGAUAGAGAUGCCCAAGCCCCACCAUCAUCCCUUUUUACAUUGAAUUUACAGCAAUGACAUCUGCAAUAAAAUAGUUAACUUGAGAAAUUUCCAAACACAAAAUAGCAAGAUCAUUUUGGCAAAACAGAAUUAUGAAUUGAUAUCUUUAAAGAUACAUUUUUCAAAUUACUGUUACAUGCAUGCUUUCAGGUCACAAAAGUUCAACUAAAGUAUAAUACAUGACAACUAAAUUGUAAUAUCAAUGUAACAUUGUAUUUUCCCUAUGCUAACCCUAUCAAUGGUUGACAUAAUAAUCAAGUGUCUUCGUCUAUGUUGUGCUUCAAUUUGAGUGAUAUUUUAGAAAAUAGUAUAAAGCAUAGGAAUAUACCACUGUUUGGUUUAUGCUAAUACAUACACAAAGAUCAUAGAGAAGACAGAGAGUAGAAAAUCAAUGAUGAUGCAGUCGUUGAUGGUGGGAGAAGGAUUACCUGAAUUCAAAACAGAGAAAAAUUCCUUUUUGCAUGUGUCAUCUAAGAGAUAUAGCUUUCUGGGCCAUGUGAAAUUUUAGGCCAAUUCAAGACCGGUCUUCUUUGGGCUUUAGGUCAAUCAUAAGCUUCUUUAGGAAAGUAAAAUCUGAGACAAAUAAUAUUCAAAUCAGACAUCAGUAUUUCGUAAAACUCUUAGAAUGUAGAACUCCAAGUAAAAUGAUUAGUUUAGUACACAACACAAGCAAUUGGUUAGAUAGAAAUAAUUUUCAAACUUACUGAUCUGAGCAUUUUGACAAACAUAUGAUGUGCAAAUAUAAAAGCAAAAUGAAAACAAAGUAUUUUGCAUGUAAGAAAAUAAAAUUGAGAAGAAAGUUGUGGGAUUUUGCACCUGAAGGGCUUUCUGUAUCAAUUCAUUUCUUAUAAUCAUAGAUAUAAAUGUAUGGGAUAUGAGCAAUCUUAGGCCAGUCUUUACUAGUUCCCUUUCUACAUCUUUCUGCUAGGUGCUCACAUUAGAUAUAUGAAGGUUUGUAAGUGAGGUGAGGCUGCUUAUCCAGGGUGGUAACGUUGCCAAACCAAAACAUUCGCGAAUUUUUAGAUAUUGAAGAGUUGAAGCAUGUUCUACUUAGCUCAUGCGGGAGAAAUAUUAUUUCAUCUAUGAUGCAAAUAUACAGAGACUCCAAUGAAGAAGCAGUGACAAGCAUUAAUUAUCGUAAUACCUCCUCUCGCUUUAUGCAGUCCUAGUGUCUUAAGACAAGGUAACGAAGACACUUGCAAGGAUGUCAGCUUAGGGCAUUCCCAGAUGUAUAAACUAGAAAGAAGAGGGGUUGAACGCAGUUCCAAGGAUGCCAAGUCACCGCAAUUCCAGAUAUCUAAUUGUGAAAGAAGAGGAGAAGGAUGUUAGCUAGUAGACACCAUAGCCACCUAGUAGAUACAAAUAAUCACAAGCUGCUUAAGCCAUAUGAAAUCCAUGGGGAAAAGAGUAAUUAAAUCAGCCACGACAUUUUCCCAAGCUCUUAAAAUGCAAGAACCUAAAGUAAUGAUGGAAAAGGCUUGCAUUAUGUGUUAUAUGACUGUUACAUGUAUAACACAAGUGAUAUCUUGAACAACUAAAGGCACAUCAUAUGACUUUGGCUCCAAAUUUUCUCUUCAUAUGUACUAACAUUUUCUCUUAGCACUUUAACUGCAAUGUAAUAAAAAAAAUGAAGCCAUCAAAAAAGCAAAGAGAGUUUAGAUCAUGGUCUUGAAAUAACUAAAGAACCUAUGAGUCCAUGAAUUAGGUAAUAUCAAUAUGAGGAACAUAAGAGUGCUAAAGGUCAUAUCCAUCCAGGGCAGGCAGCAAAUUGUAGUUCAUUAAGAAAUGUGCAUGAAGUAGUCUUUUGCUAAACCAAAACAACUGAUGAUUUUUAUAAUUUCCAUAACGGUAACUGGUUGAAGCCGUAAUAGUAAAGACAACAACUCAAGCUUCUAACUCCUUGGGAUUAGCAUGCCAACCUCAUCCUCUUUAUAUAAUAAAUGAAGCUCUGUGCAAGAUUCAUUCUAGGAUCUUAAGGGUGAUGAAAUGUGCAAUCAAUUGAUACAAAGACAUUACUUUAUCUCGCCUUUGAAAUUUAAAAUACGUGAUAGAGUCAAGUGUGGAAGCCAUUGAUAUCAAAACAUUAGUCCAUGGAAACCCUCAAUUUUAGUUACUCAAGGAAGUUAAGUGUCCAAGCCACACAUGCUUAUCCCUUUCUGCAUUGACUAAAUCUGCGAUAAAAUACUUUACUGAAGAAAUUUCCAAAAUAUAGAAUGCAAAGAUAAAGUUUCUAAUUCCUUGGGAUUAGCAUGACAACUUCAUCCUCUUUAUAUAAAUGAUGAGGCUCUAAGCAACAUUCAUUUUAAACUCUUAAGAUGACAUAGAGAAUCUAUUGAUACAAAGACAUUAUGUUGUCGCAUCUCUGAAUUUUCAAAUACUUGAAAGAGUCGAGUAUGCUAGCCACUGAUACAGAAAUACUAGUCUAAGCAAACCCUUAAUUUCUAGUUACUAAAAGAAAGUCAAGUGUCUAAGCUCCAUGCUAUGAAGACAAUUACGUCUACAAUAACAUAGUUAAACUAUGAAAUUUCUCAAAUAUGAAAAAUGCACAAAAAAUGGACUUCUGUUUUGUCUGUGCUAAUAAACCCAGAGCAAAUACAAAGGAACAAAAUUUCUGCUUUACAUGUUUGUUGUCCUACACAAUAUGUUACUAUGAGAAUUAAAAAACCAAAUUUUAGUAAGUAUGACACUUUUAACUAAUCAGUAUCAAAAUAAAAGAUGAUGGAAGUGAGUUAUGGUAGAUUGCACACCUGAAUUUAAAAGGGAGUAGAUGUCUUUCCUACGUACAUUGGCCAUCUAUAUGAAUUUUUGGGCCAUGAAAAAUCCUUAGACCAAACUAAACUUUUGGCAGUGAUUUUAUGCUGGGGAAUUGAAGAAUGCAGGUAGUGAUUUCAAGGUGGGCCAAGGAAUAAUCAUAAACUUCUUAAGUAAGGUGGAUCUGCUGUAGUAACUAAAUCAAGGUCAAUCUAUGUAGUAUAACUUUGUACCGUCAGUAGCAAUCUUUAAGGUUCAUCAAAUGGAUAAGGUGCGAACGUAAAUAACAAAAUCAAAUUUUGCCUUAUAUGAGAAUAUAAUAUAAACUUUUGCUUCACAUGAAUAACCUAAAUAGAAUUCAUGUUGUUACAGGAUAUUGAUUGUAAAAAUAACAAAAACUAAAGCAACAAAGAAUGAAAAGAAAGGUACGUUUCAGACCUGAAAUGGCUUUCUGCAUCAGUUCGUUUCUGAACUAAUUUCUGAGACACGAGUAAUCUUGGGCCACUCAUUUCCCGAAUUGUUAACAAAUGAUUUCGACUGUGUAACGCCUCUCUUCCGGCAGUGAUGUCAAUUUAGGGCAUUUACAAAUUCGAAGCUCUUCAAGUGAGGAGAGGUUGCCUAUCCAAUCUGGUAACGUUGUCAAACCAGGCCAGUCGUGAAUUGUGAGACUCUUGAGGAUUCUAAAAGAGCACAAUUCCUCUGGCAGUGAUUGUCAAUGCAGGGCAAGGACCAAUUUCAAGAUCAGUUAACGAGGUGAGGCUGCCUAUCCAAUCUGGUAAUGUUGUCAAACCAGACCAGUCGUGAAUUGUGAGACUCUUGAGGAUUCCAAGAGAACGCAGUUCUUUUGGCAAUGAUGUCAAUUGAGAGUAAGAACAAAUUUCAAGGUCAGUCAGUGAGGUGAGGCCACCUAUCCAGUUUGGUGAUGAUGCUAAACCACAAGAGUAGUCAAUUGAGAGUGAACGUAGGUUGGUGAGGGAGCGCAUCUCUUGGGCCAAUGAUGUCAAUUCAGGGCAGUAUCCGAUUCCAAGCUCUGUAAGUGAGGUGAGGUUGCCUAUCCAGCGUGGUAUUGUUGCCAAACGAGAGCAGUCCCAAAUUUUGAGAGUUUGGAGAGUGGAAACAUGUUGACGAAGCUCGUCUGGCAGAGACAUCAAAUCAUCUAUGCUUUCAACAGACACAGACUCCAAUGAAGAAGCAGUAGCCAACAUCAACUCCCGUAGUACCACCUCUUUGACUUUACAUAGGUACAGCUUCUCAAGGCAGGGAGAUGGAGGAAAUAGUAAAGAUGUCAGUUGGGGGCAAUUCCUGAUGUCUAAACUAGAAAGAAGAGGAGACGAAUGCAGUUCCAAGGAUGCCAAGUCACCACAAUACCGAAUAUCUAAUUGCGAAAGAAGAGAAGGAGGCAGUCGCAGGGAUGUCAGCUUAGGACAUUGUGUAAUCUUUAACUUGGAAAGAAGAGGAGAUGAAUGCAGUUUCUUUUUCUCUAAUGUGUUUGGACAAAAAUAAUUUCUUUAAAACAAUAAUUUCAUAAAAUAAUUUGAUUCUCACGAUAAUUUCAAAACUAUUAUGUCUUAUUCCUUCGAAUAUAUAAAUUAUAUUAUUUUUAUUUUUAUAAUUAUUUUAAUUUCAAUAAUAUAUAAAUUAUAUAUUUAUGACGUCACUGAUUCGACCACGGUUCGAUCAGUGAACCUUGAACUAGUAACUUUUUCGAUUCAAUGAUCGGUCUGUUAUAAAAAGUGGAGGUGGAGGUGGAGGUGGAGGCGGAGGUGAAGGUGGAGAAAAUAGUCGGGGGCAAGCCCUAAUGUUUAAUUGUGAAGGAAUAGGAGAAGGCAGUCGCAGGGAUGUUAGCUUAUGACAUUCUUUAAUCUCUAACUUGGAAAGAAGAGGGGAUGAAUGUAGUUCCAAGGAUGCCAACUUAUCACAAUUUGUGAGUGUUAAUUCUAAAAGACAAGGAAAUGAAGGUGGGUGUGUUGGAGAUAAGUCCCUCCUCCACAACUCCUUUAACUUUGGCAUGCGCUCGAGUUCAAGGUACUCAAGUGAUGGGAAGAAUGGCCCUUCGGAUGAACAGUGGUCCAUGUACUCCACCUUUUCUAAACACUGAAGCUUCAGAGACUUGAGGUGAGGGAGUUCAACAAAUGGCGGUAGAAUCUGGCAUCCUAAACAACUUUUCAAAUUAAUUGUGCUGAGGUUAGGGAGUCUACAACUCAAACCACCAUUCAUCAUCCAACUUGGAAACCCCCUACCUCCAUAUCCUGUUAUAAAAAACUCCUUCAGGUUUCGAUGUGGUCGUAGGCCUACCAUCACUGACUCAGCAUCCUCACCCGAUUGAGCUUGAGCUUCUUCACCAUAUGACCAUUCUAAUUCCAAGGACUCGAUGUAUUGUUUUUCCCCCAAAUUUGCUUCCUCGGAUUCUACGUUAGCAUCCCUUACAUUUUCAAGCUUUUUAAUCCAUAGCUUUCCUCGAAGGUUGUUUAGCCUUUUCAAUUCACUCAAUCUGCCAACUUUACUCCCAGUUCCAAUAACAAACAGUGGUAGGCUUUCAAGCAAAGUCAACCUCCCUAUCCCACAUGGCAUAUAACUCAAACUUUCACACCUAUCAUUCUCCAAGUGCCUAAGAUUAAUCAAUUCCCUUAUGUCUUUGGGAAAUUCUUUUAGAUUUCUACAAUCCAUAAGUUUUAAUGUUUGCAAAUUAUAUAACCUUGUAAUAGCAUUUGGGAGUACCUUGAAAUCAUUGUAUGAAAGAUUGAGAUAUCUUAGAUGACUCAAUUUACCUAUAGAUUUUGGUAUCUUUUUUGCAACGAUUCCAGUUAGGCUCAACACACGGGAACACUUAAAAUUUGGAAUAAGUGUAUUAGGAAUUGAAUAAUUAGCUUCAACCCAUUUAUUAAAUUUCAAAAUGGUCCUUAUGUGUUUCAAAUCCUUCCAAUGGAUAUUCAACAUCAUAAAGAAUGACACAUGAUAAACUCUUUCUGAUAUCUUCUCGUUCUCCACAUUUUCUUUUAAAACAAGGAUUUCAGAUCCAACAAUAGAUUGUGCAAGAUCAUGUAUAAGAUCAUGCAUUUUACAACUUGAUAUAUUAUUAUAAACAUCUUUUUUAGCCUCCUCUAAUAAUGAUCUUGACAAAUAAUUCCUCAAAAUACCGAUCUCCUACAUAUGAAGCUUGAAUAUAUCCUUGUGCCAUCCACAAUUGCACCAACAAUUUUUUCUCAAUUUCAUAGUCUUUUGGAAAUAUUGCACAAUAAGCAAAACAUUGCUUCAAAUGGAAUGAUAGAUCAUCAUAGCUUAACUUGAGCACAGAUAAAGCCCUAUCAUUAUUUCCACCUUCCAAUAGCAACAAAUUUUCAUUGUUUCUAAUGGACAACCACGGACGUUCCUCAGUUUUAAAGCGCAAUAUUGCUCCUAGUGUUUUGAUGAUAAGAGGAACUCCAUUACACAUAUUCACAAUUUCUUUUCCAAUUCCUACAAGUCUUGGAUACAUUCUCUCUUGUCCUUCUUCAAAUGCUAUUUUUGAAAAUAAAUUCCAAGACUGGUUUUCUUUCAAACCUUUCAAAGAAAAAGGAAAAUGAUCAAUACCCAUAGUUGAUGCAACGUUUCUAUUUCGGGUGGUUACUAGAAUCUUACUCCCUUUAGCACCAACCAUCAACAAGGUCCUCAAUCUAUCCCAGUUUUGGAAGUCAUCAUUCCAAACAUCAUCAAGUACUAGCAAGUAUCUCUGCUGCCUUAGUUUUUCAUGAAGGGAAACUUUCAAAACUUCCAAUGACUCAGAUUUUUCUACAACUCCACUCAAGGAUUCCAAAAUUUUUUUAACCAGCAACUUUACGUCAAAAUCAUCAGAAACACAAAUCCAUAUCUUAGGCCCAAAAAAGUCUACCACUCUCUCAUCAUUAUAUACCAGCUGAGCAAGAGUGGUCUUGCCCAACCCCCCAAUUCCAAUAAUGGCAACAGCAGAAAGAUUUUUUUCAUUCCCAGAUGACACCAACAAUUUUAUUAUCUCUUCUUUAUCUUCAUCUCUUUCUACCAUUUCAGAGGUCAACACAAAUGAGUGAGUCUCUCUCCAACUACUCUCUACCUCCCUGUGAACUAUGUUCCCUUGAACAAGUUUUAGCAGAUCGAUUUCUUUUACAAUUUCAUCAACCUCUUCUUUGAUAUUCUUGACUCUACUACUCAUCUUAAAACGAUAUACAAGUUGAUUUGAAGAUGAGAAGAAGUCACUGACCUGCCUUGCUACUCCUCCACGCUGCAGCUGAUGGGUUGCAAAGUCAUCCAACAAGUCAUCAGCAUCAUACACGACAUCUUUGAGCCUCCUCACCCAAGUUUUUACUGCAUGGCUUUUCUCCUGCUUCUCCUCAGCAUCAAGAAGUACACCCCUGAUAGCGUCCAGUUUCUCCGUAAGCUUCGUUAACUCUUUUGCCACACCAAACGCAGAUCCAAUUUGUUGAAUAGCCGAGGAGCCUAACUUGGUUAAAACGUCAGCUAUAAUAUUGAAUGGGAUUUGUUCAGCCAUUUUUUGAAGAGCUGAAACAGGAGAAGACCAAGAAAGUAUGGUAAGAGAAGGAGAAGUUGAGAGAAUUGUAAGAGAGAAUACCACCAGACAAGCAGUGAUGAUAUAUCAUAUACACAGAGCUAGUGAGAGGACAAUAGAAGAAGAUGUAGUGGGCCUAAUAUGAUAUACUUUGAUUAGUCAAAAAGCAAUGUGAACUUAUCAUAUGCUCAUCAAAUAAUUUCUAGAAAGAGAUUUCAAUGUAUUAUGGUUAUAAAUAAAUAUGAGGCACGUGCUCUUCAAAUUUAUGAUUUUUAGGCAUGCAUUUUUACAUCACAUUAUGGCAUUAUUUUAUAUUGAUUAGUUACACUCCUUCUAUUAAGGAUGAAUUAAGAUAAGAUAAUUAUAUAUAUAAUUGGUCACUUGUUAAAGCUCAAAUAAAUUGGUGAUUUUAUAUAAAUAAAAUAAAAUAAAUAUUGAUGAUUGGAUUUUAUGAAUAGAAAUUAAUCAAAAACUUAUGAAAUAUUAAAAAUAUUUUACAAAAUAAGCAAUGAAGUAAUAAUACAGAUGUGGAAGUACAUGAUAAACCACAUAAAAUUAUAUCCAAUGAAAUCAAAUAUUAAACUAAUAUUUAAAUUGAAUUAAUUAAUUAUAGAGUUAUCUCAAUAAGUAAAUAAUUAAAUUUAUAAUAAUGAAGCAUAAACAAUGAAUUUAAAUUUAAUAUUAAAAAAAUUGAAUUAAUACUCAAAUUGAACAAUAGUCGUAAUUUACUGACAUACCUUAAGUAGUGGUUGUCGUUGAUUUGUAACAAAUCUGCAGCUUCAACGGUCUCAAAAUUAUAAAAUUUUGAGAGAAAAUGAGAAAAAAAGAAACAAUUGAUGCAAUAAUUAAUACGAGAUCAGGAUGGCUUUCAAGUGGAAUGGAGAGGAAAUGGAAUAGAGAUGAAAGCAUUUAUACUGGGAAUCAAAAUAGCCGUUGGGAAAUGUGUUUGAUUGUUGGAUCACAUUCAGAUCGAAAUCUGACCGUUGGAUCAUGAAGGAGCCGUUGAAAACCGUUCCUGACCAUUGGAUGGUAUCAGGGAUCAUUACGGCCGUUGGGAGGAGCGGGUCAACGUCUCCCUUGCGUGUAACAAAACACGUUUUUUUUUUUUAAUUAUCAUCUUAAAAAUCAAUUUCCAUAUUCAAUUGAAAAUUCAACUUUCAAUUGAUUUUUUUUCAACUACAAUAUAUUUAAAAAUAUUUUUUCAAUUAUCAUAUUUUUUUUUUUUUUAGAUUAUGAUAUUCUUUUAAAUCUCAUGUAUUAAGUAAAUAUAAAAUCUCAUACAAAAUGUAUUUUCAUCAUAAUUUACAUAUUUAUUUAUUUUGCCUGUUUCACGCUUUUUGAAGCUUCAAUCUUAAAAUUCCUUGAUUUAUUUUAGAGUUGAUUAAAUAUGAUAAGUUUAGGAUGAUGAGUGACACAUAUUCAUAUUUUUAUAAAUAUAAUGUUAUGAUUUUGUGAAAAUGUUAAUAAUGGUAAUAUUCUAGUAUCCUAUAUCAAUUAUGGAUGAAAAUUUCCAUAAAUUUCGAUAAAAUUUAGUCGAAAUAUCACGUUUCGAUAGUCAUGAAAAUGAAACAGGGGAUCAAAAUUUCAAAGGGCAUAAAUAUCCAAAAAAAUCGACAUGUUUUGCCGAAAUUCGGGCAUUUAUCGAUUAAUAUGUGAAAUAGGGAAAAUAUCUCUUGUUGGCAUUUUUUUGACAAAUUGUUGCCAACUCCAAUCAAACGCAGUCAAAGCUCACCUUGUUUUUUGCCCCCAGCUCCAACGCUGGUCAGACGAUCAAACGUGAUCAAAGCUCACUUUAUUUUCUGCUAAGUUGAGGAGUGCAACUCAUCUUAUUUUAAGUGGUGUAAUAUAUAUAUUAACUUUUAAAAUAUCUUAAUAUAUUUAUAUUAAAAGUUAUCCUAUAAACAAAAUAUUAAAAGAUAAUAAUUUUAUAAUCAAAUAAAAAUUUUUAUUUAAUUAAUUACUAAAAAUAUAAAAAUUAUCAUGAUGUUAGAAAAUAUGAGAAUUUAUCAGAUUAUAAGAACUUGUGGAUGAUCAUCCAUAUUGAUGUAUAUCUCUUUGUGACUUCCUAUAAAAGAAAGAUACCUCUAAUGAAAAUCUAUUUUAUUCUCUUCCAAUAUUCUAAUUUCUCUUUCUUAUUUUCUUCUCCUUUCACUUUAUAAUUUUACAACAUGUUAUCAGUACGAAUAGUCUUUAUAAAAGAAAUAUAAAGAUUUUUCUCUAUUCAAAGAAAUAAGAAAGGCGUUCUCUUUAGAGAAAUAGAAAGAUCUUCUCUCUUUCUUUCUCACAAAAAGGUAUGUGAUAAACUUAUAUCAUGAUUUUCUACUUUAUCACCAUUUGACUCUCUAUUUUCAUUUAUUUUAUUUGAAUAUAUAAAUUUGUACAAUCCCUAUAACCAGAAGUUAUGAGAUAAAUUAUAAAUUAUAAGAUAAAUUCAUAACCAUAAGUUAUGAAAAAUAUAUGCAAUCCCUAUAACCAGAAGUUAUAGAGAAAAUUAUAAAAUUACAAAUACAUGACUAGAAGUUACACCAAACAAUAUUAUAGUCAGAAGCUAUAAAGUAAAUAAUUAAAUAAAUGUUCAUAGCCUAAAACUAUGUACAAAUCUACAUAAUGAAAGUUUAUAGCCCGAAGCUAUGCACAAAUCUACCAAAUGAAUAGUUCAUAGCCUGAAAUUAUGAACAAAUUUAAAUAUUUUCUUGUUCUGACAAAAUAAUCAUGACCUGAAGCUAUGAAAGAUAUUAACUUUUAUUUUAUUUUUAAUUUCUUUUAAUUAUAUUGUGUAACUAGAAGUUAUACAUAAAUAGUUCAUAGCUUGAAGCUAUGUACAAAUUUGCAUAUUUUCUUGUUUUUGAAAAAAUGAUCAUAAUUCAAAGUUAUGAAAAAUAUUGGCUUUUAAUUUUUUAUUUUGUACUCACUUAUUUUUCACAACAGGAAUUAUGGAAAACAAUUUUUAUUAACAAUAGUUUCAUAACCAGAAGCUAUGCAUAGAAUUUCUAAUUCUCUUGUAUAACUAGAAGUUAUUCAAAACAAAAUUGUCAAUGAAUCUUGGAGUUAUGAUCAAAGAAAGAAAUCAAGCAUCCCUGUAGGAUUGCGUAAAAACACUAGUUUUCCUUCGUCAUCAUCUCCAUGAAGGUUUAACAAAAAAAAAGUUUUUGAUGAGAAAUCACCAGUCUCGUCCAACUAGAUCUGAAUCAUUCCCUGGAGUGAAUGUAAUAUUGUCCCAAACUCGUGGACGAUGACGAGGACGUGGUCGUGAUCGUGGAAGAAAUUCCCGAUACCAUGGUUCUUGUAGUAUUAAUUCACCAAAUUCUCAGAAAAUGAAAGCCUCAUUGCACCACUAGAAGUGGAAUAAUACUGAGGUAAAACAAGAAAAUGAGAAGUGUUUAUAAGAUAAACCUCCUAAGAACUAUGAGAAUAAGUGUUAUAGAUGUAGUAUGAAGGGACAUUGGUCGCGUACUUGUUGUACGCUCAAACAUUUGGUUGACGUUUACCAAGCAUCAAUAAAAGGAAAGGAAGUUGAAAUGAACUUCAUUGAUAGUAAUGACCAAGUGGAUCUAACCCAUUUAGAUGUUUCGGAUUUCUUUGAGAAUCCUAAUGAGAAAAUUGACCAUCUAAUUGGUGAUGGAAAUGUUUGUUAUGAUUAAACGUUAUGUUUUUAUUUAGUUCUUUGCAAAUAUGUUUACUUUGUUAUCAUUUUUUAACACAUUGUUUAUUGUUAAUAUUUUAUAGUUUAUUUCACAUUUUAUUAUUUAUCAUUUAAAUUCUUUUCUUUAUUUAUACUUGAAGGUACAUGGAUCUCUCUCAUACCUUGAUCCAUCAUUACAAUUAGUUUGAUUAUUGAAAUACUUCCUAGUUAUUUCAUGUAUAAAUUGCUCCACACUUACAAAAUCAAAUGUGUGAGAUACUUACAAAAUAUAUAACUUUAAAUUAUCUUUUCAUAUUUGUUUUAUUGUGUUAUAUAUGCUCUCAUUGCUUUUACAUAACUUAUUAAGUUAAGUUAUCAUUGAUAACUAAUAUUUUUCCAUUGAUUUUAACUUUUUCUCUAUGAUAAUAUUUAUUUAACUCUAUAAAGACGAAGUCUUUAUGACAAUUUUUUAUGACUUGUUACUUUGAUGAAACUCUUAUUUCAUUAAUUGCACAACAUUGAUGACAAACAAUGCUAAUACUACAUUAGAUAAUAGAAACCUAAUUAAAGGCUCCAGAAGAGUUUAUACUAUGUCACUAGUAGUAUUUGAUUCCAUGUGAAUGACAUUUUAUACAAUGAUAGAUCCAAAAGAAUCUUUUAAGACCCACUUGGUCCCCCGGGAUAAAAGGUUAUAUGAAUGUACAUUACAAAACCAGAAGUUUUUAUUUAGUGACUAGUCUACCUAUACACUUAAAAGCUAAAAUGACAUGUUGUGUAGAUUAUCAUUUUAAUGAGACAAUUUUUAAGCUUAACCAUCAUCAAAUCCUGAGAAGAUCUAUGCAUGCGGUUUCUCUUAUAUAUUGAGCUUAACCAUUCAUUCCUAUUCAAGCUUUUUUCAUCUUGCUGACCCUAGAAAAUUAUAUGGAUAUAUCUUAACAGUUGAGUAUUUUCUUAUGACAUCUACAAUGAAGAUCCAACUUUCCUUCUCUCUUUCUCUCUCUCUCAUAACUAUCUUUUUGUAAAUAUGCAGAAAAUAGCUGAACUGUUACAGACAAAGAGUGGUAUUUCUUUUGCAGAAGAGGGAGAAAAUAUAGGAAUAGCGUAAGACUCAAUAGAGUCACGGGGUCUGGAUUUUGGAAAACAACCGGCGUAGACAAGCCAAUAUAUUCUGUUGAAGGACACAGCCGUGGUGGUGACUGCAUUUGGUUAAAGAAAUCAUUAGUAUACUAUUGUGGAAGUACAGGAAAAGGCACCAAAUCUGAUUGCAUGAUGCAUGAGUUCCGCCUCCCCGCAGACCAGAAAAAUGCUACUCUCCCCACUGCCAAGGCUGCUGAUCAAGAAGCUGUAAGAAAAAAACAGUUCCCAAAUAUAUAUGUACCAUUGAAUUUACCAUUUCCUCAAAAUCUCUAGUACGUUGGUUAAUUUUGUGUUAUGCUUUGUGGGAUUGUAGGAAGUAUGGACACUUUGUCGAAUUUUUAAGCGAAAUGUGCCACAUAGAAGGUACACACCAGAUUGGAGAGAAGUACCUGCUAAACGCAACCCAACGAAUUCAAAACCUAAAACAUGUGAUAUGAGUCCAGAAAAUUGGGAAGGCUACGUUAGUUCUGGGGCUCCAGUUUCUCUUCAUAAAGGGAAGAAGCCUGUUGGUAGUCACAUUUAUGAAGGGAACCCACUGCCCGCAGGCCAGGUGAGCUCGAUUGUUCAAGGUUCACAACCAGAGUCAUGUUCAUCAAGCAUUUUGAGUAACGAUGCUAGGGAGUUCUUUGCACAUGGAAAUUGGGGUGAGAUCGUAUCAGUCAUGGAGCUUUCUUUUGAUCCAUCAUCUGUGAAUAAUUUUAAAAUUAUGCAUUAGUACUGAAUUUCAGUUACAUAUGGUCUUCAACUGGGGGUGCAGAUUACUGUUUGAUGUAUGCAUAAAACUAAUUUCGUGGUUGAAUAUUGCUCUCUUUCUAGUAACUUACUGUUCAUCAUCUUUAGCAGAAUUAGUGUGGUCAUAUUGGGAAAAUUAAUUUAUGGAAAUCAUGGUCACCACACAAGUUGAUAGAUUUUGAGGCUGCUGGGGUUUCAAGAUUGGAUUUGGGGGCUGAUUUAAUAAUGUAAACCUACCAACACCUUGGCCCUGAUCAGUGGCCGGCUUCACCAUCUAGCUGUUAGAAACAUAAAUAGCUCUAGGUUUAGUUAUAAAGUCAACACACACACACAUAAAUAGCUCUAGGUUUAGUUAUAUAGUCAAAACACACACACACACAGAUAGAUACACAAACAGAUAGAUGUAUAUGUAUACUGACAUAGGAUGCUACAGUAUUUUUCUUGGUAUUUCUAUAUUUUCAUUAUUUACUGUGUAUCUUAAUGGGAUUAAUCAUAAUGCCUUCUUAAAUUUCUAAAAUUUUUGGUGUCUUGUAUAUUUUUCUUAUCUUUCAUUAGUCACACUCAAUGAUUAAAAUAUUGAAAUAACGAAAAUAUCAAUCCUUAGGUUUUACAUAAAAAUCAUAAAUAUCAUAAAUAUUGAUGAAAAUUUUGAAAAAAAAACUUGAUAAAAUGAAAAUUAAUCAAAAUUUAUAUAAAUAUUAUAAAUUUUUUUAAGAAAUAAUAAAAAUAAUAAUAUAAAUAGUAAAGUUGUUUUACUAGAAAAAAUAUUGCAUAGAUAUAUUGAUAUAAAAAAAGAAGAUGAUUUAUGUAAUUUUUUUUUUGUUUAAAAAUGCUUAUGACUUAUUUAUUAGUUUAUAUUUAUAUACAUUUUUUUAUUGUAAAAUUAUUCAUUAUAAAAAUUAUCACCAUGUUUUUAUAUCAUGAGAUAAUUAAAAUUAAUUGAUUUAUCUAAAUUUUAUUUUUAUAUUUAAGUGGUUUUGGAAAAGCUUUAAUUGACACAAUCAGCAUAUAUUUAAUAUAUGUGAUUAUAAAUAAUUAAGGGCAACUUGCCCUAGUGGCAAGGGUUACGUUUUACAUACCCAAGGUGGGCUGAAGCAGUGGCUUGUUUUUUGAAUGUGGAAAGAGGAGGAAAAAAAUAUGGUCACACGGGCUGAGCAGGUACCAUAGUGGGAAAGAGACUGAUGGAGCAAUGAUGCAUGGAGAUGGUGGGUCAUGGGUUGCCAAUUAUGGUUUUCCUAUAGAGGCAGUAGUUACGUACAUUUAUAAAUUUAUUAACUAUUAUUUAUCAAAAUUAAUUUAUAAUUUGGUUUGAUCUUGUAUGCGAAAUAACAUUGAAUCAUAAUAUAAUGUGAUUGCAUUAUUUAAUUAUAUUGACAAUUUUAUUUCAUUCAUGGACCUUGCGUAUUUUUAUAUGAUUUAUACUAUUUUUAUAAAAUCAAGGUUGCUGCAGAAUUAACUUGGAUUACACAAAUAGGUAUGAUUAAGUUAAUUGAAGAUAAUGACAUAAAAAUUAAAUUGUAUAGAAAUUAAAAAUAUAAUUAUUUUGGAAACAAAUUUUUAUGUACAUAUUGUAUAUCAAGGAAAAGGAAAAUAGAUAUUUAAAAAAAUUUAAAAUAGAAAUUUUAAGCGUUUCCAGUAGAUAUGGUCACACGGGCUGAGCAGGUACCAUAAGCACCCUUAAGGGCCGCUCAAGCGUAAGCUGCGCUCAAGCACCCUCAAUGGCCACUUAAGCGUUUCCAAUACUCAAGCAACCUUACUAGGAGCUUAAUGUCACGGACUUAGUCGUUUCCUAAGCUCGUGCGGCACUUAGGCAAAUCAAGACACUUGAUCUUGCUAAGUCAGCCUUACCCCCGACACUUAGCUUGCUAGGCUAAGAUGCUCACGACUCGGAAGCUUGAGAAGUUGUAGGAGGCAACUUUUAAAUAAUGGAAGCUCUUAUUACUCAAGGAAGCCUUUACAAGUGUUUGGAAGCUCACUUGCUUGGUGCCUUGGCCAAAUGAGGCCCUCACCUAUUUAUAGGCACCAAUGGAACUCUCUAGAACCUUGGAGGGUUUCUUACAACUCAAGACUAUUCUAGAAUGUUCUAGGUACAAGCCUAUAUACAAGUAUAUACAAGAGUCUUCUAGAUUUCUCUAGAAAGCCCCGGACUCCUCUCGUGCCUUCCACCAUGGUGUAGAAUUGUGUGGAUUCCUCCAGACUUCUCUAGAACCUUCCACACUCUUCCCACUCUAGGAGUCUCCAGAAGCUUCCUGACUCUAUAUAAGGCCAUGGGGAGGCUCAUUUGGAUCAGCUUGUGACACUCUCCCCCACCUAUGCCGCAGACGUCCUCGUCGCGCCUUCUGCCCGGAAUCGCUCGAUCUGCUCCUGGAACUGCCAUAGUGCCUUUGCUGGCUCCCAGCUAGCCUCGCUUUCUGGUAGUCCCUUCCAUUUCACUAAGUAUUCCGUAGUAGGAGGUACCCCUCGUCUCCUGAUGACCCGAUCUGCGAGGACGUGUUCUACCUCCUUAUCAUAGGAGGUCACGACCGCUGUAGGUGCCCUCUUAGACAACCCUCGGCUUGGAUCAUCCUUGUCUCCGUGAUAGGGCUUCAAGUAGCUUGCAUGGAAAACAGGAUGAAUCUUCAACCUCGGGGGCAGCUCGACUCUAUAGGACACCUUGCCGACCUUCCCAAGUAUGGGGAAGGGUCCUUCAUACCUCCUCACAAGGCCCUUAUGCACCGGCCUUAGGGACUUGAAUUGUUGAGGAAGGAGCUUGACAAGCACCAUGUCUCCUACCUUAUGCUCCGUGUGUCGUCGCUUCUUGUCAGCCCACUUCUUCAUUUUCUUAGCGGCCUUGUCCAAGUAUGAGCGCGCUAUGUCAGCUUGCUCGUGCCACCCUUUCGCGAACUUGAAAGCCGCUGGACUUCUCCCCGUAUAGCCAAUCGUUAGAGUGUGAGGAGUUAACGGUUGCUGCCAUGUGGCUAGCUCGAACGAACUCUUGUUGGUCGCCUCACUCCUUUGUAGGUUGUAUGAGAAUUGGGCUAUAUCUAGCAACCUAGUCCAAUCCUUCUGGUUGGCACUCACGAAGUGCCUCAAGUACAGCUCCAAUAAAGCGUUCACCCUCUCGGUCUGCCCAUCCGUCUGUGGGUGAAAGCUUGUGGAGAAGUGAAGCUCCGAACCCAUAAGCUUGAAGAGCUCCGUCCAAAACUUCCCAAUGAAACGCGGAUCGUGAUCACUGAUGAUGAACUUCGGCAAUCCCCAAUACUUGACUACGUGCUUUAGGAAUAGCCUCGCCGUCUCUUCCGCAGUGCAGUCAGUCAGGACUGCUAUGAAGGUUGCAUACUUAGUGAACCUGUCCACCACCACUAUGAUAGAGCCACUGUCCUCCGACUUAGGUAACCCGAUAAUGAAGUCCAUGGUGACGCUGUCCCAUGGGCGUUCUGCUACAGGUAGUGGCUCUAACAGGCCUCUAGGUUGUCGCUGCUCCACCUUGUCUUGUUGGCACACAAUACAAGUCCUCACAUAGGCCUCAAACUCAUCCCGUAUUUGAGGCCAGUAGUAAGCCGACUCGAGUAGUGCCCUAGUGCGUCGUUGCCCAGGGUGCCCUGCCCACUUGGUGUCAUGGCACUCCUUAAUCAGGUUCCGCCUUAUGUUCCCCCACUUAGGCACGUAGAGUCGUCUCCCUUUUGUGUAGAGUAGGCCGUCCUCCACCCAAAACCGCUUAGUCUUUCCUUCAUGAGCCAGGGCGAUGAGGCUCUUAGCCACUGGAUCAUGUUGCAAUCCCUUCCUUAGAAGAUCCAUUAUGUCUCCUUGGGGCUGACUCGUUAUGGACGCUAGCUCGGCUUUGCGACUUAGGGUGUCGGCCACAUGAUUAGCACUUCCUGGCUUAUACUCCAGCGUAUAGUCGAACUCAGCCAGGAAUUCUUGCCACCUAGCUUGUUUAGGACUCAGCUUCUUCUGUGUCUGGAAGUAGCUAGUGGCCACAUUGUCGGUCUUCACUAUGAAGUGAGACCCUAGCAAAUAGUGCCUCCAGGUGCGCAAGCAGUGAACGAUAGCGGUCAUCUCAUUUUCUUGCACCGUGUAACGCCUCUCCGCGUCGUUUAGCUUGCGACUCUCAAAUGCAAUUGGGUGCCUUUCUUGCAUAAGGACUCCCCCAAUAGCGAAGUCUGAGGCAUCUGUGUGUACCUCAAAGACCUUGGUGUGGUCGGAUAGUGCAAACACUGGCUCCUCAGUCAUAGCCUUCUUUAGAUCCUCAAAGGCUUGUUGGCACCUUCCAUCCCAUUCCCAUGCCUUAUUCUUUUUAAGAAGAUCAGUGAGUGGAGCGGCCCUUCCCGAAUAACCCUUUAUGAAUCGCCGGUAGUAAUUAACUAAACCAAGGAAAGAUCUGAGUUGAGGUACCUUGGUUGGUGGAUCCCACUCCUGGAUGGUUUUCACCUUGCUAUCAUCCAUCAUCAGCUUGCCAUCCCUGAUGCGAUGCCCUAGGAAGCUCACUUCCUCCUUAGCAAACGAGCACUUCUCUUUCUUUACGUAUAGCUCGUUCUGCCUCAAGAUCUUAAAGACCUUCCUCAAGUGCUCUUUGUGCUCCUUUAGAGUGUUACUAUAGAUGACUAUGUCAUCCAAGUACACCACCACAAACUUGUCCAAGUAUGGGUGGAAGAUCUUGUUCAUGAGGGUGCAGAACGUUGAUGGGGCAUUGGUGAGUCCGAAAGGCAUUACUAAGAACUCAUAUGAGCCAUACCUGGUCACACAUGUAGUCUUCGGCUCAUCUCCCUCCGCGAUCCUGACUUGGUAGUAGCCUGACCAUAAAUCCAGCUUCGUGAAGUACCUUGCCCUUCCAAGUUGAUCGAACAAGUCAGCAAUGAGCGGGAUGAGAUACUUGUUCUUCACCGUCACCUUGUUGAGUGCCCGGUAGUCAAUACACAUCCGUAGGGAUCCAUCGUGUUUCUUUUGAAACAAGACCGGCGCGCCAUAGGGAGCCUUGGAUGGUUGGAUGAACCCCGCGUCUAGCAACUCUUUAAGUUGUCUCCUUAGUUCCUCCAACUCAGGUGGUGCCAUCCUAUAUGGCCCCAUAGCAGGGGGCUUGGCUCCCGACUCCAGCUCAAUCUUGUGAUCUUCCUCUCUCCUAGGAAGAAGUCUCUUAGGCAACUCGGGCGGCAUCACAUCCUUGAACUCAUCAAGGACCCCCUUGAUUUCUUUAGGCAUGGGUUCUCCCGACCCAUCAUCCUUUUCUUCCUUUAGGGUGGCGAGGUAGGUCACCUCUUCCCUCUUUAACCCCUUCUUUACUUGCAUAGCGGAUAACAUAGGGGUCUUGAGCGUACUUUCAGUGACCAUAGGGACCAUGCAUGGCUUCUCCUCCUCUAGGAUAGCCAUUGAGCGUAGGAAAGGUAGUGGCACGGCUUUGACCUUCUGUAGGAAGUCCAUUCCUAACACCAUCUUGAAGUCGUCCAUGGGUGCCACUGUGAAGUCGACCCUUCCUUCCCACGAACCGAUGUGCAUAGUCACCCCGCGAGCUACUCCAUGUGAUGGCUUGGCGGCUGAAUUGACUGCCUUGAGCCAUCCUCCUUCCUUGGAUGCUUGGAGCUCCAGCCUUCUUGCCUCAUCCUCCGAGACAAAGUUGUGAGUGGCACCUGUGUCCACCAGGGCCUUGGUGGCCUUCCCAUUCACCAAGGCCUCCACAUACAUCAGCCCUUUGCUUUGAGGCGUCUUAGGCAUCGGCUUGGCCUUAAGGGCAUUUAGGAGCUGCAACGAUCCCAUCUUAGCAUCGCCUUCCUGCUCCUUCUCCUCGAUCAUAACAUUUAAAGCCUUCCUCUUAGGGCAGUCCCGUGCCCAGUGUGGACCAUCGCACAUGAAGCAAUUGGUCCUAGGCGUGAACUCCUUUCGCUUGUCCUUGCCUUUGCCAUCCUUGCCACUAGGGCCUUUGCUUGAUCCUUCCUUAGAGGUAUGGCCUUGCGACCUCUUGUCUCCCCCGCCUUUGGCCUGGUUACCCUUAGAUGGUGGCUUGGGCUUGGAGGAGUCUCCCCUUCUAUAAUCCACUAAGGAUUCGGCUACUGCCAUGGCCGUGGCUAGGUCUUGGACACCACGUCUCCUCAACUCUUGCUCGGCCCAGCUUUGCAAGUUGUCCAUGAAGUUGAACAGCAGCUCCUCCUCAGCCAUGUUAGGUAUCUCAAGCAUAAGAGUAGAGAAUUCUUUGACAUACUCACGGAUCGAGCCCGUGUGCUUGAGACGCUUCAAACUCUUCCUUGCUAGGUAAGCCACGUCUUCGGGGUAGAAUUGCCUCUUGAUUUCUCUCUUAAAGGCAUCCCAUGUGUCUAUGGUGCACGUCCCUCUCUCUAUGUCGGCAAACCGUCGACGCCACCAUAGAGUAGCAUUAUCAAUGAGGUAAAGGGUCGCGGUGCGUACCUUAGUGGCUUCAUCCAUUAGUGCGAUGGCCUCAAAGUAGCGCUCCAUGUGCCACAAGAAGUUAUCUAACUCCUUAGCAUCCCUCUUGCCACUGAACGCGUGUGGCUUGGGCACCUCCACCCUUGGUGCCUCAUGAGUGGCCAUGACUCGUGCUGAUACAGCGGUCUUAUAGAUGGCCAGCUCUUGUCGAAUCUCUUGGUCUCGGGCCUCCAUGCGUGCAGUCAAGGCCUCCAUCCUUGACUCCACACUAGCGAACAUGCUCAUGACCUUGUCUUGGAAGGACAUGAACUCCUCGUGUGACACCGGCUGAACUUGCGAGACCAGCACCCCCUCGCGAAGGUCUUGGAUCUGCUCCCUUAGAUCCUCUGAGCCCUUCUCCAUGCCUUGCUCGAUCAAGUCCACCCCUUCCCAGGUGUCUGCCAUGGCUAGCUCCACCUUGGCUAACCUUGCCUCCAUGUUGGCAACAACAUCACGAGAUGUAUCCUUCUUACCUCUACCCCUAUCCCGUGCAGUAGGCUCGGCCUCCCUCCCACGGGUUUGUUCGCUAGUCUCCUCCACGUUAAAGCCCGACAUGCUUCCCUUAUGCCCGCUUCGUAGCCGCGCUCUGAUACCACUUGUCACGGACUUAGUCAUUUCCUAAGCUCGUGCGGCACUUAGGCAAAUCAAGACACUUGAUCUUGCUAAGUCAGCCUUACCCCUGACACUUAGCUUGCUAGGCUAAGAUGCUCACGACUCGGAAGCUUGAGAAGUUGUAGGAGGCAACUUUUAAAUAAUGGAAGCUCUUAUUACUCAAGGAAGCCUUUACAAGUGCUUAGAAGCUCACUUGCUUGGUGCCUUGGCCAAAUGAGGCCCUCACCUAUUUAUAGGCACCAAUGGAACUCUCUAGAACCUUGGAGGGUUCCUUACAACUCAAGACUAUUCUAGAAUGUUCUAGGUACAAGCCUAUAUACAAGUAUAUACAAGAGUCUUCUAGAUUUCUCUAGAAAGCCCCGAACUCCUCUCGUGCCUUCCACCAUGGUGUAGAAUUGUGUGGAUUCCUCCAGACUUCUCUAGAACCUUCCACACUCUUCCCACUCUAGGAGUUUCCAGAAGCUUCCUGGCUCUAUAUAAGGCCAUGGGGAGGCUCAUUUGGAUCAGCUUGUGACAUUAAGCAUUCCCAGCACGCUGUGCUGAAGCGCCCCCAAUUGCCACUUGAGCGUUUCCAACACUCAAGCAAGGUACCAAAUGCUUGAGCACUCGACAUCCUAACCCCUGAAGGCUAAAUCCAUCCAUUUCCUCCACGAACUCAACCAUCCUUACCAAGUCCAAGUUACCUCUUAUAUUUUGUUUUGUAGCUAACAAAUAUAUAAAAACUAAGGAAUAAAAAAUGUGCCCUAAAGUAAUCAACGGAGCUAAAUUUCAAAAGCCAUCUGAAUGCAUUUAUGUGGGUACUGUACUAAUGAUGUAGUAAUAAGUUUGACCUUAUAAAUUAAGAAGAGUGGAGCAAUAUUGAAAGGAACUUACACUAGGUGUUGAAAAGAAAGAUUAAGCAACAUCUGAUCUCCUUUUAAAUUCUCAAAUUUAAAAUUAUUUUUCAAAAUAAUUUUAUUAUUUGGAAAACAAUUCUUUUUAAAUUAUCAAUUUAAAGUUAUUUUCAAAUUAAUGUUAUUUCUAAUUUUCAUGUAAAUCCAUGACUUUUUUUUUCUCAAUCAUUGAACCAUACUUAUUUAUUUAAUCCCAAGUUGAUUCUAUGGCAAGUUUGAAUCUUCAAAUGAAUGUAAAUUAUAAAAAAGUACACAAAGUCCUAAAUUAGGAUGAUGGGAAUAAAAUUUUCAACUUAACAAAAAUAGUUUAUUAAGUUGUACUUCAAAAUUUGGAUGAUCUUAUGUUAUAUUGUUUAUUUCCCUUUCUAGAUUCAAACAAAGGCAGAGUGUUAUUUAUUAAUGGCAGAUUGUCCAUUAUACUAUUGAUCAUUACUAGUAGAUUUCUUUCAAAACCUACUUUGACCAUCAAAGAUAAAUCAUUAUUGACAAACAUCUAAGUAUUUCCCAAGUUCAAUCAAAGUUUUCUUGAUUCAUAUGCAUUUAAAUUUCAACUUUCUUUUGCAAAAGAAAUUCAAAAAAAAUAAUAAUAAUAAUUAAAAAAAACCUACUAAAAAAUAAGGGCUCGUUUAGCUAUGUUUUAUGUAUAAAAGAAACAAGUGAAUUAUUUUAGAUCAAUUUUUACUCUUAAAUUUACAAUAUUAAUUGAAUCACUAUUUAAGUCUCAAGUUAUUUUUAAAAAUUAGUAGAUUCAUGAAUGAAUCCAAGCCAUUAAGUCUGACUUAAUUUGAAGUUUAUUUUCCUAAUGAACAUAAUUUGUAAAAAUAUAAUUAUAUGCAAAGAAUAAACUAGUCAAGUCAUUUAAAAUAAAUUUUAGUGUAUGACUUUUUAAUAUUAUUGAGUUUUAUGACCUUUUAAUACUAAUUAAAUCGGUUUUUGAGUUUCAAAUUGUUUCUUAAGACCCUUGAUUGAUUCUACCAUAAAGGCCUAAUGGAAUAAUUACCUAUUCUAUCUUAUUCGCUACCAAUAGUCAUAUUCAAAUUAAACUGCUAUCAAUUCUAAGCUUUAGUCAUCUAUUCGAUCAAUGUAUCUUUAUUUUUAAAAAUUGGUGAAAACAAUUUCUAUUUAUUCUCUAACAAUUGUUAUCUAUUUUAUUUUAUUUUCAAAAAUUUAAAAUAAAGAACAAUAGUUAAAUAUUGUUAUGAAAUUUAAAAUAGCUUUUUGUUUAUAUGACCAAAAAACUAUUCUCUAAUCACAUAGCCAAAUAAGCCCUGAAGAACAAAAAUCAAGACUAAUUACAAAAAUACCUAUCUUAACAAUGCAAGAGGGAAGCUAGUAGUUGAAAUAAGUGGUGCAUUGGGGCCCACUAGCCAUUCUUUUAUAUUAAUCUAUUAAAGUAGUUCCAUUGGUUAUUCACAUUGCAAAUUGUCACUUCCAUAAAAUUAGCAGUAUUUUUAUUAAAGGUAGUUCCACUCAUUAUUCACUUUGCAAACCGUCACUUUCUAAAAUACUGUAUCUUCACUAACUUAGUGAACUUUUAGGUCAUCACAACGUCAAUUGGGACAAAAAUCACAUUGUAAGUGUAAUCUCGACCUUAAACUCUCUUCUCCCCCAACUCUCUUACUUUCCAUGUGGAGUACAAAUUGGAAUUUUUAUUUUAUACAUUGGAAGAAUUCGCUUAUUUAUAUCAGUUAAUGAAAGAGCCCAAUGCAAAAAAAAUUACAAGCAUGAGAAAGUGAAAAUGGGACAAAGAGACAUAAACCAAAGCAAAGAAUUCACACUAUAAAAAAUGGUACAAUCUUCAAGGUGUGCUUUCUCUCGAGACACUAGAAUUCUCCUAGGCUUGCAUGUUUUCUUUGUUUACCACUUAUUAGACCGCCAACUGCUUUCCAAGAUGCUACCACUUAGCCAAAUGACAUAGGACAAAUGGAAGUUUAUUGUCCCACAUCAGUUGAUUAUCAACAUUGGUUGGGCCUCAUGUGGGACUACAUCUAUCCUCCAUUAGCUUGGACUUUUAGGAGUGUAUAUGGUUUGACAUCAUUUAAUAUUAGACCGAUAUUUGGGUUGGCUUACCUAGUAGUUGUUGAUAUGGACAUCAAGAACUAAAUGAGGGUGUUUGACAUAAGAUGAAUGGAAGUCAAUGUUCCAAAUUGAUUAAUUAGUGAUGUUGGUUGGGCCUUAUAUGAAACUACCUCUAUCCCCUUAGCUUUGGCUUUUGGGAGUGUAUAUGGUCCUACAUCACCAAACCUUUGAGACAACAUUUUGGACCUACAAAAUCCCUCAUAGUAGUUGGGAAUGAGGCUUUUGGGCAGCUCCAAAGAAGAAGAGAAGUUGAGGGAUUUUCAGCUACCAUCCUCAUGUUGUCUUUCUUAUUCUCAAGCUAGCUCUCUCAAUAAUUUUCGUUGCUAUAUUAUAUUUGUGUAAUUAGUUUUUCAAGACUUUAGUAUAGUUCCCUAUUAUGUAGAUAUUGAGCACUUUGAACUCCAAUUUAAUGUUUAUAUCAAUUGCAAGUUUUGACCUUAUUUUCUUUGUUCUUUAACGUUUGUUACUAGAAGUUCUUCAAAGUUAGGGAGGUCCCUUCGAGAACAAUUAAUACACAUCAUGGGAGGAAUUGAUAUUGUCUUCACCAUGUAAUUGAAGAUUCCCCAUUGGAAGGAAAACCCAUUUUACUCCUUGGAAUGGAAACUUAGAAGUUACUUUUUAAGGUAUUUUAAGUGUUGAGGGUUCUAACCCUUUUUGAACUUUAGGCUACUUUGUUUCCUAAUGGAAAACAUGAGAAAAAAAAAAAGUAAAAUGAAAGUAAAAAACUAGACUUAAAAUCAAUAAAUUAUGUUUAUAUGCUACUUCAAACUCAUUUCACUUAUUUUAACUUUUUUUAUAUUAAAUUCAAAUAAUUAAAAAAUGCAUAAAUUUUUAAUUAAUUUUAAUCAUAUUUAAUUUUUAAAAAAUAUUUUUAAUGAUAAAAUUAAAUAUUAAAAAAUUAUUUUUCUUAAUAUUUUUUUUCUUCCUUUAAUCCUUGUUUAGAACCAAAUAUAACCUUAAGACUGACAUUGGCAUCACAAGGACAAUAAGGCUUUGAAAAUGGAAAGAAGGUUAAGGUUGCAAGGCAAAGCUACUUGGACAAAAUCACUUCAAAUACUCUACCUAGGUUUUUCCCUAUAAAUGCUAUUGGUUGUAGGCUUUGAGUUGUGCAUUGGCUAUGAAAGAAGGAACCUCAUUAGACCCCCUAUGCUUGGCAUUUAAAUUUAUUCGUUUUUUACAUAGCUAUAAAUCAUUGUUUUCACUUUUUCUAACCAAAGAUUUCCCAGGAUUCUCUCAAUAUCUCCUUAUUAAACAACUCUCUUUCAAUCAUAAUUUAAAGAGAAAAUCAGCACCACUUUUGGAACUAAUUCAUCUCAUGCCUCUCAAUGUCCACUGCCUGCCACUUUGGAACAUUAUGCCUGAGAAUACUACUAAAUUCUUUACUUGCAAACACCCCAUGUACUUGGGGAAUCGACACAGUCAACAUUCAGGGCUUAAGAAUUCUUUUCAUUUUAGGCUUUUAGAGUAACAAACCCACAGUAUGCAAGUAAAUGGGAAAAUAAUUGGCGAUUACAAUAUACAGAGAACAAAUAAAUGAACUAGAACAAAACAAAUAAAAAAUUUUCAAAUUUAAUUAUAAAGCGCACUCAGUAUGUUAGGCUCAAUAUUAGAAUCUAGAAAAGAUCAUAAGGAAAAAUGAACUCAAUAAAAGAUUACAUACAAACAAGUCAAAAAUGACCCACAAAAAUAACAGGCAUUAAAGUACCACUCUAAGAUGUAUAGAUCCACAAUAAUUUUGGGAACAAAAACUGACAAACUGAAAUUGCAAGUAUAAAGACUGAAAGUCGUCUAUUACUGUUUAGAAAACAAAUACACCUGAGGAAGAUUUAGAAGCCACAACUGCUGCCAUCUAGUGUACGUUUGGGUUUGAACUAAAGCUUCAACAAUCAUCCAUGAUAGAGAAUUUUGGAUCCACCCUUCCAUUCUCAAUUAACCAUCCUCUUAAUCCAUACUUUGCAUGUUUUAGUAAUGCAAUUUAAGGUUUUGAAGUGAGGUUGGUUCCAUCUUCACUCUCCAUUAUGAGAAAUUGCUCUUAUAUAGGCAACACCUAUUUCAGCAAGGAAAGAUCAAUGACAUCUUUUAGGCCUUCAGAAAUAAAAAGGACAAAACAAUUUUUAGGAAUAUAAAAUAAAUUGAUAAAACCAUACUCUUCCAUGAUCUUCAACAUAAAAAUCAGCAUCUUUCCCUUCUCUCAUUAACUUUGGGAUAUAAAUGAACUUCAUUUAUACAAGCAACCUGUCGAAUAAAUAUAUCUUAUUAGACUAUGAGCCAUGCCUUUUUUUAAAUUCUUAUAUUUAAAGAAUGGUAUAAAAAGAACCAUAAGAACGUCUAUCAUGAAGCCAAUAGUAAGCAUAAAUCAAAGGUAUAGAAAGGUUACCCUCCAUAUAUGAAAACGAUCAAUCCUACACCCAUUUUCAUAUCAAACACUGAAGUGGCUUAUUUUUCUUAUAAAAAAAGAAAACAAUAUAUCAUUUGAAAUUCACCACAAAAAAAAUAAAAAUGAAAAAAGCUAGACUUCAAUAGUAUUUCUCAAUAGUUGAAACCUUCAAACUAGUGAUUUAUAGGUUCAACUAAUAUCAUCAAAGCAUGCUAAUAAAAGGAUAACUAUGCUUAUAAAUGUUUAGUUAAAUCUAAAAUCAAAAUUAUAAUUCAAACAUUUAUAGGAAAACUAUCUAAUUAAUUAUAUUAAAAGUCUUGAGUAGCCUAUCUUUUAGGCCUUUAGAGAUAAAAAGAACAAAACAAGCUUUAGAAAAGAUAAAAUACAUUGAUAAAACCAUACUCUUGAGUGAUCUUCAACAUAAAAAUCAACAUCUUUCCCUUCUCAUUUACUUUGGGAUAUAAAUGAAUUUCAUUUAUAUAAGCAACCUGUAGAAUAAAUAUAUCUUAUUAGACUAUAAGUCAUGUCUUUUUUAAAAUUCUUAUAUUAAAAGAAUGAUAUAAAAAGAAUCAUAAGAACAAUGUCUAUCAUGAAGCCAACAGUAAGCAUCAAUCAAAAGUAUAGAAAGGUUAUCAUCCAUAUAUUGUGAAAACAAUCAACACUACCCACUUUCAUAUCAAACACUGAAGUGGUUUCUCUCUCUAAUAAAAAAAGAAAUGAAUUUAUCGUUUGAAAUUUACCACAAAAAAAAUGAUAAAAGCUAAGCUUCAAUAGUACUUCUCAUUAGUUGAAACCUUCAAACUAAUGAUUUAUAGGUUCAACUAAUAUUAUUAGAGAAUGCCAAGAAAGGAUAACUAUGCCUAUAAAUAUCUAGUUAAAUCUAGAAUCAAAAUUCUAAUUUGAACCUUUAUGGGAAAACUAUCAGAUUAAUUACAUUCAAAGACUUGAGUAGCAUAUCUUUUAGGCCUUUAGAAAUAAAAGAAAUAGAACAAUCUCCAGGAAAAAUAAAAUAAAUUAAUAGAACCAUACUCUUCAGCAAUCUUCAACAUCAAAAUCAAUAUCUCUCCCUUCUCUCAUAACUUUGAGAUAUAAAUGAACUUCAUUUAUAUAAGCGACUUGUCGAAUAAAUAUAUCUUAUUAGAAAAUGAGUCAUGUCUUUUUUAAAAUUCUUAUAUUAAAAGAAUGGUAUAAAAAGAACCAUAAGAGCAAUGUCUAUCAUAAUGCCAAUAGUAAGCAUCAAUCAAAAGUAUAGAAAGGUUACCAUGCAUAUAUUGUGAAAAUGAUCAACCCUACCCACUCCCAUAUCAAACAUAGAAAUGGUUUAUUUUUCCUAUAGAAAAAAAUAGAAAAGAUUAUCAUUUGAAACUCACCACAAAAAAAUAAAAAAAUAAAAAAAUAAACUUAAAAAUUAAAAAUUAAAAAAUUAAAAAUUAAAAUACCUAGGCUUCAAUAGUAUUUCUCAAUAGUUGAAACAUACAAACUAAUUAUUUAUGACAUCAUAGCAUGCCAAGAAAAGGAUAACUAUGCCUAUAAAUUUUUAGUUAAAUCUAGAAUCAAAAUUCUAAUUCAAACAUUUAUAGUAAAACUGUCAAAUCACUUAAAUUGAAAGUCUUGAGUAGCAUCAUAAGAAAUUUUAUAUAUAAGAAAUACUAAAAUACUAGACUCAUGAACUCCAAUUCAAUAAUUCCUAGUGCUCAUGCACUUUGCUGAUACUCUAUUGUACAUAAGAACCAUUGUCUUAAAACUCGAAGAAAUUCAUAAAAGGUCUUAGCAAAUUGGUUGCAAAUUAAUGGAUGAUAAUAAAUACAAAUUAUGUGCAAUGUACAAAAUAAAUAAAUAAAUAAAGAUAUCAAAAGAUAGGGAGUAUGAUAUACUUAUGCCCAUGCACCCACCAUUUACAACUUGUCAUUAUGAGCCUCUAGGACAGAAGUGAGACUUUGCCAAUCUUCAUUAUUAUAGCAUUUUUUGCAUUAGAUGGGAUGUGACCACAUUGACAAAUAUAUACUUAAUUAAUCUAAUCUGUUACCCAGGCAUGUUGAAACAAUUUUUUAGUAAUUUGACAUUCAAGUAUCUAUUGAUGGUUAUAAACAUAUUUCUUCACAUAAUUAGAAAAUGAUUUUUUUCUUUUAUUAUAAAAAUGAGAAAUGUGACCAAAGACAAAUUACUUUUUGUUUGAGUCACAAAAUGAUGUGUAGUGCCAAAUUGUAAAAUUUUCAAGUGUGGUAAUUGAAAAUAUAUUGAAUCUCUUUUGUGAAAGACUCUAAUUUUAUAAUAAGAUGAAUAUUCAUUUUAUCUUAUGCGGAAAAACAUAAAUAUCAAGACGCUAGAAAGAUGUUAAGCCUCUAAGCCAUAAUGUUGGAAAUUUUCAUAGAGUAUGACAUGCUCCUAUACUGAUGGAUAUAUUGGAUCCUUGAUGUUUUCAAUAUGCGUAAAGAGGGAUACCCUUUUGUGUAGAUUGUUUAGGUGUAGAUGUAGUGGCAUGGAUAUCAACUUGGGGAAAUGAUAUCAGCAAUAAGUGUUGUUGUAAUUGUCACUUGCUUUGAGAGUGGUAGUCCUCCUUGACAUAUCUUGAAGUUUGUCAAAUCUUCAAGAAUGGGCAAAAUCAUACUAUCAACCACCUUCAAUUGAAAGAAAGAAGAAAAAGAAUACUUGUUACCAAUAUUUUUUGUGCAUUCUAGACCACUCAGAUUGCUAAGCUUGAGAAGCUUGAAAAGAGUAUUGUCCAAAAUGCUAUACCAAUUCAAUAGAACAUGAAAAUCAAUGGAUCAAUGUUGCAAAAAAGUAUACUUUUUUUUUAACAAACUAGUUGAGAAGUGAUACACAAUAAAGAAGAUCAAAGUUAGAAAAAGAGUAAAAAUUAUAAACUUGAACAAUGAAGUUUAUAGUAGAUAGUAACAAAAAAUAAGAGAGCAUAAAUCACUAAUGCAAUUGAGCUAACCUUUUCAAUGGGUGUCACCCAUCCAUAGCCUGUCAACAUGUGCCUCUAGAGUACUGAACAACGCUCAACCAAGACUAAGCAUUAUGUCUUUAGUAUUGGCAUUGAUACUGAAUUAAUUUUCAAAAAAAAAAUUAUUAAUCCAAGCACUUUUAUAAUCGAUAUUUAAUUAUUUCAAAUAAGAUAUUAUGGAGCAUUAACAUUGAUUUCUUUUACCAAAAAGCUUAGAAAACUAUCUUCACUCCCAAGCGUAUCCACUUAUGUAUGCAUGUCUAACCUACAUGGCAUGGCUAAUCUUUAUUACAACAAGAAAACAAUCUUAACAGAUGACUAUAAAAACAACAAAGCAUAAAGCCAACAAAAAUGGUAAAUAUGGUUGGCAUUGCAAACCUGAAAUAUUUGACACAAGGCAAAUCUGAAUUAAAGAGAGCACGAGUCUUUACGCAUCAGUCUUCCCUUACCUAUCAAUAUAAAAAGAGCAUGAAGUAAACAAAAAGGUCAACUUUAGAAAAUUAUGAUAACUAAUUUAGAAUACAUUAGUGAGAUAGGAUGUCAAACCAUUUUAAAAUGAACACUUUUUUCGACUUGCAGAUUAAAUGUACAACUCAACCAACUUCUUGAAAAUAGGUAGAUAAUUAAGAAAUUAAUAUUUAAAAUGCACUCAAAAAAUGAUGAAUUUAGGCUUCUGUAGUAGUUCUUAAGAAUUGAAACCUAUAAAAAAACACCAUUUAUACUUGAGUUUUCUUUGGAGAGAGGUACCUAUUGUAAAAAGAGAAAGAAAUCAUUACCAUCUCAUGUCUAGAAGAGAACAUGAACAAAGAAGAAUAUAUUUAUAUAUCUUGAUUUAUAAACAUAUAAAAUCCUCAGAUACAAGACACUUGAAGAAAAACUCCAUUGUGAAUAAUGACUUGAAAUAUGUGCCAUGCCCUUAAAGCUUUAUUGUUCUACUGCCUAUAAGAAUCAAAAGAUGAAAAGUAAAACAAUGUAACAAUCGAUUGUCAAAUAAUAAAACAAAAAGAGACAAAAUGAGGAAGAGAUUGGAAUUGUAAACUUGAAUAAUAAAGAGAGUUGGUAAUGAGAACCUAAAUUGAGAGUAGAAAUCCUUUAUGCGCUAACCAUGUAGUAAAUAUCAAUCUGAGACAUUGAGAAAUUUUUAGCCCAAUCCAAAACCUAUUUCAUUUUGGCAUCAAUUUUUACAGUUAUUUUAAGAUAGGGUGAUAAAUGAUUGCAAGCAGUGGUUUCAAACAUAUAAGCAACAUUCUCAAAAUAUUUAUAACAUCAUCAUCACCAUUAUCCAACAAAAGUAUUUCUUCUUACAACAUAAAAAUCUAACUUCUUAGGACAGUACAUGCUCAAUUCCCUAUCACAGAUGUAAAUUUCCAAAUUCAUAAACAUAUACAAUCCUGACAUUGAGAUUUUCACAAAUAAAUUAUGGUAUGUUUGCACUUCCCUAAAACUUAGAGAAGAUUCUCUUGCAUUAUAUAGAUGUAGAUCCUUAAGAAAAAAGUAAGUCAAGUAUGAAAGCUUAACCCUUUGGUAUGCAUGUGAGAAUUAAUAAAUCAGAACCAAAACCAUAGUCCAAUAGUUUUUAUCAAAUUAGUUAGGAAAAGAUAAUGACAACAUAUCAAAAGCGAAAUGAAAGGCCAAAAGCAUUAACCUAAAUAACAAAGACGUAUUAUGGAUGAGACACAAAUUGAAGAGAGGUUAGCUUGAGGAGUUGAUGGAAAUCCACAUGCAACAAUAUCCAUGCAUAGUUUUUCAACAUAAAUCUCUGGGACAUUGGCUAAAAUUUGGUUGACCACUAUUCCUAUUAGAUUGGCCUAAAAUAUUUAAUAAGCUAAGCAUGUCACAGUGAAGGAAAAUUAAAGAUAAGAUAAAUUGUCUAUAUAAAUCUCUUAUGCUAUGUCCUGAAUAUGUCUUAUAAUCUCUAAUGUUGAUAAGAAUCAUAUUAUUAAACUCUUACAUAAUUUACUAGAGUACAAAAUCUUAUAAUGUGCUAAAAUCCUAUAUAGUAGCUGAUGAUUUUUUUAUUUACAAUUUCUAUAGUAUCUAUUUUAAGUGUUAAAAUUAUAUAAUAUUAUAAUAGUUUGUAUGUUUUAUUAGGAGUAGCCAUGUGCAUUCUUUCCUCCCCAUAAAUCAUGAACUUGCAAAUACCUCUCUCUAAAUUUUGUGAUAUUAAUACUUCUAUAACUACUUUCAUUUUUUUUUAUUUUUUUUUUGUGUAAUUGAUAAUUUCCAUGAUUUUUUAAAUCAAGAUCAAAAUCUUGUAAAUUUUUUUUAUGCUUUUGUUGAUAUCAAUAUUUUGUUCUUUGCUUACAUCUCUAAUAUAGAAAAUAGUUGAGGCAACUAAUGGUCUCUCUCAACCAUAUGAGUUUGUGAUAUUACUCAAGCUAGUAUAAGAAUGAUGCCCAAACUCAGGAAGGACAACAUGUAAUGGGUUUCUCAAGAACCCUAAAGCCUAUUUGGUGGUAAAGAUAAGAAUAGAUUUUCCCAAGAUAUUUGCACCAUUAUCCCUCUAGUAGUAGGGACACUAAUUAAAUUUGUGAUAAAUUAUGUAAUGUAAGCUAGCAUUUCCACAAAUUCUUGGAAUUCAAAACAUGAAGUAACAUGAUCAUUUUUGAUCCAUAACAUUAGAAAUUGGUUUGAAGAUGCACAAUUUUCAAACUUAUUGUAUAAGCUAAUCAGAUGUAUAAGGUGUAAAUAUAAAUAACAAAGCUAUCUUUUGCUUCAUAUGUUGUCCCACGCCAUAAUUAUGAAAGUAGAAUGUAACAAGUGCACAUUGAUUGUCAAAUAAUUAAAAUGAGGCUACAGAGAAUGAGAAGAAAAGUUGGGAUCUUAGAC